CAGCUCACUGGCGGGCGUCCGGUGAAACCACGUGGCUUGGGACCGGAAGGCUCGAGGGGUACGUCCGGGGUAGGAGUGAAAUCCCGUAAUCCUGGACGGACCACCGAUGGCGAAAGCACCUCGAGAAGACGGAUCCGACGGUGAGGGACGAAAGCUAGGGUCUCGAACCGGAUUAGAUACCCGGGUAGUCCUAGCUGUAAACGAUGCUCGCUAGGUGUGACACAGGCUACGAGCCUGUGUUGUGCCGUAGGGAAGCCGAGAAGCGAGCCGCCUGGGAAGUACGUCCGCAAGGAUGAAACUUAAAGGAAUUGGCGGGGGAGCACUACAACCGGAGGAGCCUGCGGUUUAAUUGGACUCAACGCCGGACAUCUCACCAGCUCCGACUAUAGUGAUGACGAUCAGGUUGAUGACCUUAUCACGACGCUAUAGAGAGGAGGUGCAUGGCCGCCGUCAGCUCGUACCGUGAGGCGUCCUGUUAAGUCAGGCAACGAGCGAGACCCGCACUUCUAAUUGCCAGCAGCAGUUUCGACUGGCUGGGUACAUUAGAAGGACUGCCGCUGCUAAAGCGGAGGAAGGAACGGGCAACGGUAGGUCC
rnacentral:rRNA from 1 species